rnacentral:sRNA from 1 species
UCCAUGUGGACUGCUCUCGUGGUGAGGCU